CUCUUCCCCUGAACCCUAUAUCCCCAAAAUCGGCCGGCGGCGGUGAGAGGCGGAGGUCGUCACCAGCGAUGGUGCUUCGUUGACUUGAGGACUACGACGCCGCAUGCUGUGGAACCCUAGGUUCACGACAUCCAGUAGAGACGGACGACGGCAACGAGAAGUAUGCAUUAUGGAUCCAUGUAUCUGAAUGCAUGUGGUUGCGAAUGAAAGUUCUUGGCAUAGGAUUCAUUCGAUUCGCAGAUUAAGGUCCAAUGAUUUGUGAUGACAGACUCGAAUGGUAGGAAAACUUUCACGAAAGGCACGGUGAUGCGGUGGGAAAUGAAGAUAGGCUCAUUUUCUCUAAAUUUGCUGAUGUCAAGUUUAAUGAAAGAGGUGAAUUGGGGCAGUAACCAGUCUGCCACUGUGUGGUUCUUUGAUAAGAGAAUGGGAGAAGAUGUCAGAUUAAAUAAUGAGAUUCAGAUAAUUGACAUGUUUGAAAUGUACAAGUUCGAGAUGACAUGUGCGAUAAUGGUAGGAAUCUUUGACAAAGUAGUAGUGGAAAGCCAAAUAGAACAAGAGCUUGAUGAUCUAACACCUUUGUAUGUGUUACCUCCACUUGAUGAUGCACCUCCUGUUGUACCCACUAGUUCAGCGCCUAAUCCUAACACAACUAGCAGACAUCCUGGACCUAACACAGCUUGCACAGAGUAUGAAUGUGCUGGAGUGUCUGCAUCUCAUGCCCCUACAGCUAAAGAGGCAGAUGCUUCAAUGCCUGACCCAUUUGACAAUGAAGAGGGGUAUGUUGGUGUUGAUGAUGAACACAUUUACAUGCCAACACCUCCUGCUCCACCUCCUACACAACCCACACAACUAGCUGACAAUGAGAGUCCUCCAUUUCCUAAUCCAGAGGUAGAGGUCAAUGAUGCAGAUCUAGAGGAGCUUCAUGUGCUUCAUUGAAACCCCGUAUAGAUGGAUUUUUGGCUAGCUGUAGACCAUACAGAGGAGUUGAUGCUUCUAGUUUGAAAGACAAGUACACUGGCCAGUUGGCUAGUGCCACUUCAGUAGAUGGACACAAUUAGUUGUACUAUGUUGCCUAUGGGAUUUUUUACUCAGAGACAGAAGAAAACUGGGUGUGGUUCAUGCAGCAGUUAAAAAGAGCUAUGGCUCCCCACCUGGUUUGGUCAUAUCAACGGAUGCAUGCAAAGGUUUGGAAACUGCUGUCAGUGUUGUGUUCACUGAAGCAGAGCAGGAUGCAGUACCUUGAACAACAUCACAACUGGUUGUGGUACCCACAGAGCAGGCUGCAGUACCUUGAACAACAUCACAACUGGCUGUGGUACAGAUGUGGGUUUUCAGAAGAAAGCAAAUGUGAUUACCUGAAAAAUAAUAUCUCAGAAAGUUUUAAUAGCCAGAUUAGGCACUUGAAGGGCUUGUUGCUUCGUGAGUUAGUUGAUGGGUUAAGAGAGCUCAUAAUGGCGAAGAGGUACCUUAGAAAGCAGAUAGCAAGUAAGAUGGCAGAAGGGAUACUGCCAAAUGUGCUAAAGGAGCUGAAUCAAGUAAGCAGCAACCUCAGGAUUCUCAAGGUUGCAAGAAGUGAUGAUGACUGUGCAGAGGUUACUCUAGUGGAUGCCUACAACAACACUAGAAGGCACUGAGUUGACCUAAAGAAUCAUAAAUGCUCUUGCAGAGUUUGGCAAGUAACUGGAAAACCAUGUUAUCAUGCACUGGCUUGGAUCUCGUCAAAUAGAGGAGUAGAGAUUUCUGCAUUUGUACAUGAAUACUACUCUGUUUCUAAGUUCAAGGCAGCAUAUGAGUGAAGAGUCACAACAAUGCCAGAUAGGUUCCAAUGGCCUGCAGUUGAUCUGGGUUUCAAAGUGUGCCCAUCACUGCAGAAAAGAGCAGCAAGUAGGUCAAAAGUCCAGAGAAAAAUCAGAGGAGCUCUUGAGAAAGGACCGAAAAGGAAGGUUAGAUGCAGUAGAUGCAAAGGCUAUGGACACUUUUCCAAGACUUGCUAGCUUGCAGAACCAGCAAAAGAUGUUAAUCCAGCAACACCGAGCAAGAGAAAGAGGCACUUAUACUCCACAAAAGAAGAAAAAAACAGACACCAAAGAAGAAGCCACCUAAGAAGAAUAAAACUCCAAAGAAGAAGAAGACUUCCUAAGAAGAAGAAGCAUGCAGCAGCUGCUCCACCUCCUACAACAGUUAGAAGCUUGAAAGAUUGGUUGGGCAUGUAGUACAACAUCAUUGUAGUUGAUGUUCUAUAUACUGUUGUUGAUAGUCUAUACUUUUGAUGGUCUAUGCUUUUGAUGUUGAACUUGUUGUCAAUUUGUUGUGUUAAGGGUCAUUGUGAACCAGAUGUGUUAAGGGUCAUUGUGAACCAGAUGUUGUUUGGUAUUGUGAACCAGUUGUUAAGGGUCCUCAAGUCAACAAAGCACCAUUGCCGGUAA